UUUCAUGAUGAGCAAUUUCAUUAUUAGUUAUCCCUGUCAGAACCAUACUGUUGAUAACGUACAACUCUGAAAU
rfam:Aspergillus calidoustus genome assembly, contig: SCAF1